CUACGGAGGGUGCAAGCGUUACUCGGAAUCACUGGGCGUAAAGCGCGCGCAGGCGGUCUUUUAAGUUGGAUGUGAAAGCCUACGGCUCAACCGUAGAACUGCAUCCAAAACUAUUAGACUAGAGUGUGGGAGAGGAAGAUGGAAUUAGUUGUGUAGGGGUAAAAUCCGUAGAGAUAACUAGGAAUACCAAAAGCGAAGGCGAUCUUCUGGAACAGUACUGACGCUGAGGCGCGAAAGCGUGGGGAGCAAACAGGAUUAGAAACCCCGGUAGUCC
rnacentral:rRNA from 1 species